UAAAUUUAGAGUUNUUGUGGAGGGGGGGUAGAAUUUCCAGGUGUAGGCGUGAAAUGUGUAGAGAUUUGAAGGAAUACCGGUGGCGAAGGCGGCCCCCUGGACAGAUACUGACACUCAGAUGCGAAAGCGUGGGGAGCAAACAGGAUUAGAUACCCUGGUAGUCCACGCCGUAAACGAUGUCUACUUGGAGGUUGUGGCCUUGAGCCGUGGCUUUCGGAGCUAACGCGUUAAGUAGACCGCCUGGGGAGUACGGUCGCAAGAUUAAAACUCAAAUGAAUUGACGGGGGCCCGCACAAGCGGUGGAGCAUGUGGUUUAAUUCGAUGCAACGCGAAGAACCUUACCUACUCUUGACAUCUACAGAAGCCAGCGGAGACGCAGGUGUGCCUUCGGGAACUGUAAGACAGGUGCUGCAUGGCUGUCGUCAGCUCGUGUUGUGAAAUGUUGGGUUAAGUCCCGCAACGAGCGCAACCCUUAUCCUUGUUUGCCAGCACUUCGGGUGGGAACUCCAGGGAGACUGCCGGUGAUAAACCGGAGGAAGGUGGGGACGACGUCAAGUCAUUAUGGCCCUUACGAGUAGGGCUACACACGUGCUACAAUGGCGCAUACAGAGGGCGGCCAACUUGCGAAAGUGAGCGAAUCCCAAAAAGUGCGUCGUAGUCCGGAUUGGAGUCUGCAACUCGACUCCAUGAAGUCGGAAUCGCUAGUAAUCGUGGAUCAGAAUGCCACGGUGAAUACGUUCCUGGGCCUUGUACACACCGCCCGUCACACCAUGGGAGUGGGCUGCAAAAGAAGUGGGUAGUUUAACCUUCGGGAGGACGCUCACCACUUUGUGGUUCAUGACUGGGGUGAAGUCGUAACAAGGUAACCG
rnacentral:rRNA from 1 species